rnacentral:rRNA from 1 species
UACAGAGGUCUCAAGCGUUGUUCGGAUUCAUUGGGCGUAAAGGGCGCGUAGGCUGCGGGCAAGUCGGGUGUGAAAUCUCAGAGCUCAACUCUGAAACUGCACUCGAUACUGCUUUGCUUGAGGACUGGAGAGGAGAUUGGAAUUCACGGUGUAGCAGUGAAAUGCGUAGAUAUCGUGAGGAAGACCAGUGGCGAAAGGCGGAUCUC